CGGAGGGUGCAAGCGUUAUCCGGAUUCACUGGGUUUAAAGGGUGCGUAGGUGGGUUGGUAAGUCAGUGGUGAAAUCCCCGAGCUUAACUUGGGAACUGCCAUUGAUACUAUCAGUCUUGAAUACUGUGGAGGUCAGCGGAAUAUGUCAUGUAGCGGUGAAAUGCUUAGAUAUGACAUAGAACACCAAUUGCGAAGGCAGCUGGCUACACAAAUAUUGACACUCAGGCACGAAAGCGUGGGGAUCAAACAGG
rnacentral:rRNA from 1 species